AUUGAACGCUGGCGGCAGGCCUAACACAUGCAAGUCGAGCGAGAGGCGGACGGGUGAGUAAUGCCUGGGAAUUGCCCAGUCGAGGGGGAUAACAGUUGGAAAGGAUUGCUAAUACCGCAAAAUAUUGGGUUGCCCAGGUGGGAUUAGCUAGUGGGUGAGGUAAUGGCUCACCAAGGCGACGGUCCCUAGCUGGUCUGAGAGGAUGAUCAGCCACACUGGAACUGAGACACGGUCCAGACUCCUACGGGAGGCAGCAGUGGGGAAUAUUGCACAAUGGGGGAUACCCUGAUGCAGCCAUGCCGCGUGUGUGAAGAAGGCCUUCGGGUUGUAAAUCACUUGCAGCGAGGAGGCGUUACUCGCAGAAGAAGCACCGGCUAACGCCGUGCCAGCAGCCGCGGUAAUUC
rnacentral:rRNA from 1 species